UCCUACGGGAGGCAGCAGUAGGGAAUCUUCCGCAAUGGACGAAAGUCUGACGGAGCAACGCAGCGUGAGCGAAGGAGGCUUCGGGUCGUAAAGCUCUGUUGUCAGGGAAGAACUAGUGCCGGAGUAACUGCCGGCACCUUGUCGGUACCUGACCAGAAUGCCACGGCUUACUACGUGCCAGCAGCCGCGGUAAUACGUAGGUGGCAAGCGUUGUCCGGAAUUAUUGGGCGUAAAGCGCGCGCAGGCGGUCCUUUAAGUCUGAUGUGAAAGCCCACGGCUCAACCGUGGAGGGUCAUUGGAAACUGGGGGACUUGAGUGCAGAAGAGGAGAGUUGAAUUCCACGUGUAGCGGUGAAAUGCGUAGAGAUGUGGAGGAACACCAGUGGCGAAGGCGACUCUCUGGUCUGUAACUGACGCUGAGGCGCGAAAGCGUGGGGAGCGAACUGGAUUAGAUACCCUGGUAGUCCACGCGUAAACGAUGAGUGCUAAGUGUUAGAGGUUUCCGCCCUUUAGUGCUGCAGCAAACGCAUUAAGCACUCCGCCUGGGGAGUACGGCCGCAAGGCUGAAACUCAAAGGAAUUGACGGGGGCCCUCACAAGCGGUGGA
rnacentral:rRNA from 1 species